UAUUGGACAAUGGGGGCAACCCUGAUCCAGCGACGCCGCGUGUGUGAAGAAGGCCUGCGGGUUGUAAAGCACUUUUAGUGGGGAUGAAAAGCCUAGGGCUAAUACCUCUGGGUCUUGACCUAACCCACAGAAAAAGCACCGGCUAACUCUGUGCCAGCAGCCGCGGUAAUACAGAGGGUGCAAGCGUUAAUCGGAAUUACUGGGCGUAAAGCGUGCGUAGACGGUUGCGUAAGUCAGAUGUGAAAGCCCCGGGCUCAACCUGGGAAUUGCAUUUGAGACUGCGUAGCUAGGGUGCAGAAGAGGGAAGCGGAAUUUCCGGUGUAGCGGUGAAAUGCGUAGAUAUCGGAAGGAACACCAGUGGCGAAAGCGGCUUCCUGGUCCAGCACCGACGUUCAGGCACGAAAGCGUGGGGAGCAAACAGG
rnacentral:rRNA from 1 species